rnacentral:rRNA from 1 species
GAUGAACGCUAGCUACAGGCUUAACACAUGCAAGUCGAGGGGCAUCAGGAAGAAAGCUUGCUUUCUUUGCUGGCGACCGGCGCACGGGUGAGUAACACGUAUCCAACCUGCCCUUUACUCGGGGAUAGCCUUUCGAAAGAAAGAUUAAUACCCGAUGGCAUAAUGAUUCCGCAUGGUUUCAUUAUUAAAGGAUUCCGGUAAAGGAUGGGGAUGCGUUCCAUUAGGUUGUUGGUGAGGUAACGGCUCACCAAGCCUUCGAUGGAUAGGGGUUCUGAGGGGAAGGUCCCCCACAUUGGAACUGAGACACGGUCCAAACUCCUACGGGAGGCAGCAGUGAGGAAUAUUGGUCAAUGGGCGCUAGCCUGAACCAGCCAAGUAGCGUGAAGGAUGAAGGCUCUAUGGGUCGUAAACUUCUUUUAUAUAAGAAUAAAGUGCAGUAUGUAUACUGUUUUGUAUGUAUUAUAUGAAUAAGGAUCGGCUAACUCCGUGCCAGCAGCCGCGGUAAUACGGAGGAUCCGAGCGUUAUCCGGAUUUAUUGGGUUUAAAGGGAGCGUAGGUGGACUGGUAAGUCAGUUGUGAAAGUUUGCGGCUCAACCGUAAAAUUGCAGUUGAUACUGUCAGUCUUGAGUACAGUAGAGGUGGGCGGAAUUCGUGGUGUAGCGGUGAAAUGCUUAGAUAUCACGAAGAACUCCGAUUGCGAAGGCAGCUCACUGGACUGCAACUGACACUGAUGCUCGAAAGUGUGGGUAUCAAACAGG